rnacentral:lncRNA from 1 species
CCCUCCAGUGAGAGACUGCAGAACCUGAACCUGUUCAGCCUUCACGAGAGAAGGCUGAGGGAGACCUGGUGACAGUCGAUAAACUCACUAGGGGGGACCAGAAGGGUUUGGAGGAGACCUUGUUUCCCCGAGUGCCCCCCAGCAUAACAAGGGAUAACAGCCACAAGUUGUUGGAGAGGAGGUUUAGAUUAGACAUCCGCAAGAACUACUUUACGUUAGGGCGGCUGGGAUCUGGAACCAACUUCCAAGGGAAGUGGUGCUGGCUCCUACCUGGGGGUCUUUAAGAGGAGGCUUGAUGCCUACCUGGCUGGAGUCAUUUGAGCCCAGUUUUUCUCCUGCCCAGAUGGGGGGGGUUGGACUUGAAGAUAUACAAGGUCUCUUCCGACCCGACUUCUAUGAUUCUAUAUGAACCACAACACCCACAAAUCCAUGAAUCGUAUGAAAGGAAAUGAGACAUCCCUCUGGCAUUGUAUGAAAAGAAAAUAAGACUUAACUCUACUAUUAGGCGUGGCAAAAUAAAAUAGUGAUACUUAGAAACUGCAGUUUUUUUCAUGAGGUUUCUGGAAGAGGCUUAUACUGACCAUACUGGGUGAGAGUUUAUAGCUGCUGCUGUGUCUAACUUUAACCCAGGAAAAGAAACCAAAGAGGGAGGAAGCAGACAUGCUACAUUGUGUCAUACUCAGUCAUUUGUGAUGUAGAUGUGGGGAGGACAGGAGUGCUCCGUGACCACAUGCUUCUUAAAAUAGCAAAGAUGAAUAAAGAAUUUUUCUUCAAGCAGAUUCUGGAAGCAUGUGACCUCCUGCGUGCUUCCAUUAUGCAGUGACUGGCAAUUGCGUUGGCAAUACAUUUCAUUUUUGUUACUAUAACACCUAACAUCCUAGAGACUAAAAACAAUUACUCAUGUGUGGAAUUUCCUACCAUCCCGUUCAUUCCCUCUUCUGCAGAAAUGACUUCCAGGCACAGGACAGCCUAGGCCUGAGCCAAAGCAGAGUUGCCAAAAGUGGAUAAAGCAGUUUCCCUUAACUUGUCACCGCCUCAGAUUUCACGAGUUCUGUAUCCGAGGCUGGUGCAUUGUGGGGAAGAAGCAGACGUGUCCAUACUGCAAAGAGAAGGUGGACCUCAAGAGGAUGUUCAGCAACCCGUAUCCUUUUCUGGGCACUUCUUAGAUUAUUACAGUCUAUUCCUUGAAAAUAAGCUCUCCAGCAAAGCUAGUCUUGCAAUUAACCAGAAACCUGCUGUGGUUGUGGGAGAACCCCCUCUGUUCCAGUAGCAGCUUUGCCAGUAAUGCCGUGCAACCAGGCACUAGAGGGUAGGGCUAGGAUUCAGAGAGACCUUAACAAAUUGGAGCAUUGAACCAAAAGAAAUCUCAUGAGAUUCAACAAGGACAAGUGCAAAGUCCUGCACUUAAGAUGGAGUAAUCCCAUGCACCAGUGCAGGCUGGGGACUGACUGAUGGCA